AAAGGGUAACACCGGCUACGGAUGGCCAUGCGGCGCAUUAGCUAGUUGGCGGGGUAACGGCCCACCAAGGCGACGAUGCGUAGGGGUUCUGAGAGGAAGGUCCCCCACACUGGUACUGAGACACGGACCAGACUCCUACGGGAGGCAGCAGUGAGGAAUAUUGGUCAAUGGGCGCGAGCCUGAACCAGCCAAGUCGCGUGAGGGAAGACGGUCCUAUGGAUUGUAAACCUCUUUUGUCGGGGAGCAAAAGACGCCACGUGUGGCGUUCCGAGAGUACCCGAAGAAAAAGCAUCGGCUAACUCCGUGCCAGCAGCCGCGGUAAUACGGAGGAUGCGAGCGUUAUCCGGAUUUAUUGGGUUUAAAGGGUGCGCAGGCGGAAGAUCAAGUCAGCGGUAAAAUUGAGAGGCUCAACCUCUUCGAGCCGUUGAAACUGGUUUUCUUGAGUGAGCGAGAAGUAUGCGGAAUGCGUGGUGUAGCGGUGAAAUGCAUAGAUAUCACGCAGAACUCCGAUUGCGAAGGCAGCAUACCGGCGCUCAACUGACGCUCAUGCACGAAAGUGUGGGUAUCGAACAGGAUUAGAUACCCUGGUAGUCCACACAGUAAACGAUGAAUACUAAUUGUUCGGGGAGAAUGAUCCCUGA
rnacentral:rRNA from 1 species